GCGCGAAAACUUUACAAUGCUGGCAACAGCGAUAAGGGAACCUCGAGUGCCAGGUUACAAAUCUGGCUGUCGAGAUGCCUAAAAAGCAUUUCAUAGCAAGGGCCGGGCAAGACCGGUGCCAGCCGCCGCGGUAACACCGGCGGCUCGAGUGGUAACCGUUAUUAUUGGGUCUAAAGGGUCUGUAGCCGGCCGGAUAAGUCUCUUGAGAAAUCUGGCAGCGUAACUGUCAGGCUUUCAGGAGAUACUGUCUGGCGCGAGGCCGGGAGAGGUGAGAGGUACUUCAGGGGUAGGGGUGAAAUCUUGUAAUCCUUGAAGGACCACCAGUGGCGAAGGCGUCUCACCAGAACGGACCUGACGGCAAGGGACGAAAGCUAGGGGCACGAACC
rnacentral:rRNA from 1 species